UGGUAUUGGGGAUUGAACUUGGGCACGGAGACGGUAUGGACAGACAAUUUUUGAAGGGGUUUUACUGUAAAGAGGGUCAGAGAAAUGGGCUGUAGUAAUUCUGGAAAGUGAAGUUAAAAUUUUUUAUUUUGAAGAGAAGGAACAUGCUAAAUUCUGAUGGAAAUGAUUCAGUAGGGAAGGUAAAAUGAAGAAUAAUAGGACAAAAGGGAAGGAUUUCUGGAGUAGGGUAAUUCCUGGUGUUCCAGAAGGGGCCUUAGUCUCUGGAGCUCUGAUCUUUCAGCUAUAACGGAAAGAAGAGUCUGAGGUACAAAUUCUGGUCAGGGGCAAAACUCCUCAAACUAUUCACACCAGUGUAACAUUUAGUAAUAAGCUUUGGUGGUAGAUUAAAAAUAUGAUUUGAUUUGUAAAAAAAAAAAAA
rnacentral:lncRNA from 1 species